rnacentral:rRNA from 1 species
GCAAGUCGAGCGGACAGAAGGGAGCUUGCUCCCGGAUGUUAGCGGCGGACGGGUGAGUAACACGUGGGUAACCUGCCUGUAAGACUGGGAUAACUCCGGGAAACCGGAGCUAAUACCGGAUAGUUCCUUGAACCGCAUGGUUCAAGGAUGAAAGACGGUUUCGGCUGUCACUUACAGAUGGACCCGCGGCGCAUUAGCUAGUUGGUGGGGUAAUGGCUCACCAAGGCGACGAUGCGUAGCCGACCUGAGAGGGUGAUCGGCCACACUGGGACUGAGACACGGCCCAGACUCCUACGGGAGGCAGCAGUAGGGAAUCUUCCGCAAUGGACGAAAGUCUGACGGAGCAACGCCGCGUGAGUGAUGAAGGUUUUCGGAUCGUAAAGCUCUGUUGUUAGGGAAGAACAAGUGCGAGAGUAACUGCUCGCACCUUGACGGUACCUAACCAGAAAGCCACGGCUAACUACGUGCCAGCAGCCGCGGUAAUACGUAGGUGGCAAGCGUUGUCCGGAAUUAUUGGGCGUAAAGGGCUCGCAGGCGGUUUCUUAAGUCUGAUGUGAAAGCCCCCGGCUCAACCGGGGAGGGUCAUUGGAAACUGGGAAACUUGAGUGCAGAAGAGGAGAGUGGAAUUCCACGUGUAGCGGUGAAAUGCGUAGAGAUGUGGAGGAACACCAGUGGCGAAGGCGACUCUCUGGUCUGUAACUGACGCUGAGGAGCGAAAGCGUGGGGAGCGAACAGGAUUAGAUACCCUGGUAGUCCACGCCGUAAACGAUGAGUGCUAAGUGUUAGGGGGUUUCCGCCCCUUAGUGCUGCAGCUAACGCAUUAAGCACUCCGCCUGGGGAGUACGGUCGCAAGACUGAAACUCAAAGGAAUUGACGGGGGCCCGCACAAGCGGUGGAGCAUGUGGUUUAAUUCGAAGCAACGCGAAGAACCUUACCAGGUCUUGACAUCCUCUGACAACCCUAGAGAUAGGGCUUUCCCUUCGGGGACAGAGUGACAGGUGGUGCAUGGUUGUCCUCAGCUCUUGUCGUGAGAUGUUGGGUUAAGUCCCGCAACGAGCGCAACCCUUGAUCUUAGUUGCCAGCAUUCAGUUGGGCACUCUAAGGUGACUGCCGGUGACAAACCGGAGGAAGGUGGGGAUG